rnacentral:rRNA from 1 species
GACGAACGCUGGCGGCGUGCCUAACACAUGCAAGUCGAGCGAUGAAGCCCUUCGGGGUGGAUUAGCGGCGGACGGGUGAGUAACACGUGGGUAACCUGCCUCAAAGAGGGGGAUAGCCUCCCGAAAGGGAGAUUAAUACCGCAUAACAUUAGUUUUUCGCAUGAAGAACUAAUUAACGGAGUAAUCCGCUUUGAGAUGGACCCGCGGCGCCUUAGCUAGUUGGGGAGGGAAAGGCUCACCAAGGCGACGAUGCGUAGCCGACCUGAGAGGGUGAUCGGCCACAUUGGAACUGAGACACGGUCCAGACUCCUACGGGAGGCAGCGGUGGGGAAUAUUGCACAAUGGGCGAAAGCCUGAUGCAGCAACGCCGCGUGAGUGAUGGAGGCCUUCGGGUUGUAAAGCUCUGUCUUUUGGGGCGAUAAUGACGGUACCAAAGGAGGAAGCCACGGCUAACUACGUGCCAGCCGCCGCGGUAAAAC